AACAUGUUUUAUAUCUCUAGUCAUUGAUACUCACAGGCACACACAAAAAAAAAAAUGGAUAAAUGAUGGAGUCUUCAAGGUAUGACUGCUCUUGUAACUGGUGGAGGCAUCGGAAUUGGGCAUGCUAUCGUAGAGGAGCUAGCUGGUCUUGGAGCUAGAAUCUAUGUAUGCGAUAUAUCUGAAACAAUCCUCAAUCAAAGUUUAAGCGAAUGGAAAAAGAAAGGGUUUCAAGUCAGCGGUUCAAUCUGUGAUGUAUCCUGUCAUUCUGAAAGGGAAACACUUAUGCACACCGUCUCAAAGAUGUUUGAUGGCAAGCUGAACAUUCUUGUUAACAACGUUGGCUGGUUCGUACAAAGCCAACAAUUGAAUAUGUGUCACACGAUUUCUCCAUCCAUAUGUCAACAAACUUGGAAUCUGCUUAUCAUCUUAGCCAACUUUCACAUCCUCUCCUUAAAGCUUCUAAAUUUGGAAGCAUCAUCUUUAUUUCCUCAGUUGCAGGGGUUGUAUCAAUGGAGUGUGGAUCCAUCUAUAGUUUAACGAAAGCCGCUUUGAAUCAACUAGCAAAAAAUUUGGCAUGUGAAUGGGCAAGAGAUGGCAUUAGAACCAUUUUUUGAAGACGCCGGUUACGAGAAGAAUUUAGUUAGUAGAACUCCACUUGGUCGCGCCGGAGAGCCUAAAGAGGUUGCAUCACUUGUGGCUUUUCUGUGUCUACCUGCAGCGUCGUAUAUUACUGGACAGACCAUUUGUGUUGAUGGAGAUCUCACUGUCAAUGGUUUCUCCUACACGCCAGAUGCUUGAGCCGAGACUUUUGUGUGUCGGUGAUGCUCGUACGCGUCUAUUUACUUUAUGUGUUGGGUUUUCUUUUAUGUUACAAAAUGUUAAAUUGAGAUCAUAAAGCAGGUCAAUUAUAUCAUUUUCGCUAAAACCCACAAAUCAUUGAUUUUUUCUGUCAAAAACCAAAAUCGCGGAAUUUUGUUUUUCUCACCAA